CCCUGGUGAACCCAGCAGAGGAUAAAAGUGACUUACCCAUAACACUGGUACUUGGUAAUUUGUACUUUUGGCCCUCUCCAAGACCCUAUGAGUGCACACCUCAAACAUUGGUCUAAAGAGGUCAUCCUGGCAAAGAGAAUCUAAGUGAAGCCCAGUCUCAGCCAUUGAGGUGGCACUCUGCAGUAGCACAUCUGAUGCCCGGCUCACCGUACUACAUGCUGCAUGAAUGGAUCCUAAUUCAUUCAGCUUUCCUGAAUGUCCUACUAAAAUACACAACCCACUUCACUGCUACCUCCAUUUCUUCCGUCCUUUUUUAUUUGUAAAGUGAAGCUGAGAGAGUUUCUCCGAGCCCGUAGGUGGUGGCUUUGGAUCCUUUCGGUUCUUAGCGAGCUGGUGUUCCUGAGAUUUCGGCUGCUCCUCUUGAACAGGAGCAGUGUGAUCCAUGGUCCUGGUUCCUGGCUAUUCUGCUUUAGCUUUUCUUCUCUUGGCCUCUCUCUUUGCAACUCUGUCUUGCUUGUUUCAAAGGUUUCCAAUUCAGAAACCCACUCAGCUCUUCAAAAGGCUGAACUGCCCACCUUGUUUCAUACCCCCGCAGA